UUUUUAUUUUUGGUUUUAGAUUUUGAUUACUGUGAAGUGAAUCUGUGGAAUAAAUCAGAGAUUGAUUUAUAAGAUAUUGAGUAUGUAAUUGGAGUAGUGUAUGGUUGAAUUAUUGUGAGAAGAUAUUGGGAGUUGGUUAUCAAACUCUGUAGGAGAUUGUUAAUGGAUGAAAGAUUAUGAUUAUUGGUCAUUGAGAGCUAUGUGUUUCAAAGGAAGAAGUCUCUUUUA
rnacentral:lncRNA from 1 species